GAUGAAGAACGCAGCGAAAUGCGAUAAGUAAUGUGAAUUGCAGAAUUCAGUGAAUCAUCGAAUCUUUGAACUCACAUUGCGCCCGCCAGUAUUCUGGCGGGCAUGCCUGUUCGAGCGUCAUUACAACCCUCAGGCCCCCGGGCCUGGCGUUGGGGAUCGGCGGAGCCCCCCGUGGGCACACGCCGUCCCCCAAAUACAGUGGCGGUCCCGCCGCAGCUUCCAUCGCGUAGUAGCUAACACCUCGCGACUGGAGAGCGGCGCGGCCACGCCGUAAAACACCCAACUCUUCUGAAGUUGACCUCGAAUCAGGUAGGAAUACCCGCUGAACUUAAGCAUAUCAAUAAGCGGAGGA
rnacentral:misc_RNA from 1 species